CCUACGGGCGGCUGCAGUGGGGAAUAUUGGACAAUGGGGGGAACCCUGAUCCAGCCAUGCCGCGUGUGUGAAGAAGGCCCUCGGGUUGUAAAGCACUUUCAGUGAGGAAGAACGCCUGGUGGUUAAUACCCAUCAGGAAAGACAUCACUCACAGAAGAAGCACCGGCUAACUCCGUGCCAGCAGCCGCGGUAAUACGGAGGGUGCGAGCGUUAAUCGGAAUUACUGGGCGUAAAGCGCGCGUAGGUGGCUUGAUAAGCCGGUUGUGAAAGCCCCGGGCUCAACCCGGGAACGGCAUCCGGAACUGUCAAGCUAGAGUGCAGGAGAGGAAGGUAGAAUUCCCGGUGUAGCGGUGAAAUGCGUAGAGAUCGGGAGGAAUACCAGUGGCGAAGGCGGCCUUCUGGACUGACACUGACACUGAGGUGCGAAAGCGUGGGUAGCAAACAGGAUUAGAUACCCGGGUAGUC
rnacentral:rRNA from 1 species